rnacentral:snoRNA from 1 species
GGGUCAAUGACGAGAACUCAUAUGAUCAUGAAGAGAGAUGAGGACCAAAAAUCAUGCUCAAUAGGAUUACACUGAGGCCC